UUCUAUUCAGGAAUAAGUCUAACACGCCCAAUUACCAUCUCAAGGCUUCAUGGAUAUCACGUUACAUGGAAUGAAAAAACAGCUCUUGGGUCAAGACACAGUUACAGCAGGCUGCAGUCUUGGGUCCAGGUGUGCGGUUACCAUGGCUCUCGUGAUGCCCUGCGGUAGCACUUUCUGCAUCCUCAUCAGCGACAAGCGUUCCCUCACUCCGAGUCAGGCUGAAACACCGUGGUUCAAAAGGGGAGAGAAGAUGUGGGAACGGCCUUGUCGCUCUGGGCUGCGGAGAGCCCUGCAGAGCGCGUCUGGGACAUGGACAGCGAACCAGAAUCUCUAGAAGCUUUCCAUAAAAUGGUGGCUGGGACUCAAGUGAUGAAGUACAGAGACAAAGGGAAACUAGAGCAACAAAAUAGUGGUUUUGGAAAGAAGGCCAAAAGAUAUAAAGAUGAGACAGAGAUUUUCAAGAUUGUGGAAAAGUUUCCAUUGACAACAGCAUAGGAAAGUAUUUUUGCACUUUAUAAUCUUAACCACUCUGUAAGGAGAGAGAAAGGAUCAGUUCCACAGACCCAAUUUCUACACACAACGUUUCAGUUUAUUCAAUAUGUUUCUUCUGAUCCAGUAACAUUUAGUCUCAUAAAGCAUUUGGGAAAUAUUGCAAGGACAAAGAAAGUGAAGCUUAAAUAAAAUAAGAGUGACUGAAUAGCUCACUGGACCUGUUGAGUUACGCAUUUUAAUUCUAGUCCAAUAGGAAGAAGAUACAAUAAGCCAAACCAAAACAAAGCUCCUUUUGUCUCAAUGAAGAUUCCUCUGAAGAAUACCCAACUGCAACUCAAGAAUAAAUGAGUUCAGUAAUGAGCAGAGAGAAGAAGCCUUUCCUGCUGAGAGGAAAGGAAACACGCCUUCUUAAAUCUGAAUCAAGGAGCCAAGGACCUGCCUUUGGGAAAGACAUGAAGAGUUCUGCACAUACACGACUAAGGACUGUACUGUAUGAUAAAGCUAGGGACAUUUCUUGAUGAUACUCUGAGUUUCUUACAAGAAGUUAUGAGAAAUAAAGAUCAGAUUAAAGGUCAGAGAGAAGGUCACUUAUUUUAAUUCCUCAUAGUGUUACUCAUAUCUUCUGAUUGAAGUUAUCCUGAUCGAAACCCACUAAAAUUGAAAACCAGGAUCUUCACUAGCUCAGCAUUCUGUUUCCUUUGGUUUUACUGAGUACAAGGUUUGUGUCAACAAAAUCUACCUCAUUAUACACUUGCCUUGGUGAAAAGCAGAGUGCUGUGCAAAGCAGGCUGUUCUGUGCACAAAUACAACGUGGAACAGUCAGUUGUGUGCCAUUUGGAUACACACAACUCUAACUAGCACUUGCUUGUGUGGCAAAUAAAGUCUCAUUAUCACCUCUCAGACAGGAAAUUUUCAAGUGAGUGAUUAUCCAGCCCUGGGUCUUCCACCUCUCCAGCACCUCAGGGUGUGGGAGCUACUCAAUUGCAUUUGCAUCUUUCCAAACAAUUACACUUCUCACUCUGCAGGCAAACGCAGGAGUUGGCAAAAAUAUUUUUCCCAACUGCUCCUUCACUUUGGCUGCUAUCCUUUAAAAAUAAAUGCACUUUUUGU